GAGUUCAAGGUCGGGUUGGAUAGGGCUCUGAGCAAUCUGGUCUAGUGGCAGGUGUCCCUGCCCACGGCAGGGGGGUUGGAAUCAGAUGAUCUUUGAAGAUUCCCUCUGACCCAAACCAUUCUAUUAUUCUAAAACGAGUAGUUAUAAAUGAGAAGCCACUGAAUUCCCUACAGUUUUAAACUCCUUGUAAUGCUGUCAGCUGUGUCAAGAGAGGUUUAGGGUGGAUAUGAGGAAAAGGUUUUUCACCCAGAGAGUGGUUAGGUGCUGGAAGACGUUUCCCAGGGAAGUGGCCACAGCACCAAGCCUGACAGAGUCCAAGAAGGUUUGGACAACGCUCUCAGGCACGUGGUGUGACUCUUAGGUGUCCUGUGUAGGGCCAGGACUUAGACUCGGUGAUUCCUGUGGAUCCAACUCGGGAUACUCUGCGAUUCUGUGACACCAGAUUUGUGCAAUAGCUUACGUAACUCCCAAAAAAAUGCCAACCCUUCACCGACGCAAAGAAGAGAAAUUCUUCGUAAGCGCUGAAGGCAGGAAAGAACCUGUACGAAGUAUACAUGAUCCCCCUACAAGGGAACUCUGUUGUGAUGCCUUCAUAUGAUGACGAAGACUGGUAAGCGAGACUUAUGAAGUCAUAGUGGCUAAUGAUGGCAGUAAAGAUCAAACUACAAAGGGCGUUUGACGUGGAACUUCUUUAUAUAGCCCGGUGCUUGAAAAUACCUAUAGCAGAAGUUGCUGUCAACUGGACUGAAAUAGAAGGUUCUAAGUUAGUAGAAGUUUGGAGCUGGCUGCAGAUGGGCAGGGAUCUUCUUUUUAUACGACUGCGAUAUAUGACUGGUGCCUGGCAGCUCGAAAGAAGAAAAUAUAAUUAGGUUGUUUACAUUUUCCAAAUAUAUUAUUAUAUUUAAUGGAACAUGAGAACAGUUUCAAUCAAGUGAAGUAGUGAUGAAAGCUGAGGUAAUUUGUCAUUGCUCCUCCUCUUGUACGUUUCAUUUUUGCAGCAUGUGUGUGUUUUGUAAGAUUGCCGGCAGGGAAUUUGUAC